UGGAGUCUCACCAGCUGCACUCAAAUCCCUGUUCAUUGUCUUCUCAUCGCUAUAAGCUUAACCUCUUCUUCUAUCAGUUUUGUCAUCUAUAAAAGGAUCACAAGACUAAUAUAAUGAACCUCGGUCUUGAAGAAACGCUCCCUCAGACAACAAGAUGAACCACCCCUGGCCAGAAGGAACAGACGGGUCAUGUCAGGAGUGAAAAAGGGAAAACAGCUGUGCGUUUUCACUGAUGCGACAAGUUUGUUUGCAGCAUAAGAAUGAGAAUCCCAAACCACAUUAUAAUGUCAUCUACUGUAACUGCUUCCUCCCUUUCAAACGAUGAUUUCAAGAUAAAUGAAAACUUUUGCC